rnacentral:rRNA from 1 species
UAUACCGUGAAACUGCGAAUGGCUCAUUAAAUCAGUUAUCGUUUAUUUGAUAGUACCUUACUACUUGGAUAACCGUGGUAAUUCUAGAGCUAAUACAUGCUAAAAACCCCAACUUCGGGAGGGGUGUAUUUAUUAGAUAAAAAACCAAUGCCCUUCGGGGCUCCUUGGUGAUUCAUGAUAACUUCUCAGAUCGCAUAGCCUUGUGCUGGCGACGGUUCAUUCAAAUUUCUGCCCUAUCAACUUUCGAUGGUAAGGUAGUGGCUUACCAUGGUUUCAACGGGUAACGGGGAAUUAGGGUUCGAUUCCGGAGAGGGAGCCUGAGAAACGGCUACCACAUCCAAGGAAGGCAGCAGGCGCGCAAAUUACCCAAUUCCGAUGCGGAGAGGUAGUGACAAUAAAUACUGAUACAGGGCUCUUUUGGGUCUUGUAAUUGGAAUGAGUACAAUUUAAACCUCUUAACGAGGAACAAUUGGAGGGCAAGUCUGGUGCCAGCAGCCGCGGUAAUUCCAGCUCCAAUAGCGUAUAUUAAAGUUGUUGCAGUUAAAAAGCUCGUAGUUGAACCUUUGGCCUGGCUGGCAGGUCCGCCUCACCGCGUGCACUUGUCCGGCCGGGCCUUUUCUUCUGGAGAACCGCAUGCCCUUCACUGGGUGUGUUGGGGACCAGGACUUUUACUUUGAAAAAAUUAGAGUGUUCAAAGCAGGCCUUUGCUCGAAUACGUUAGCAUGGAAUAAUAGAAUAGGACGUGCGGUCCUAUUUUGUUGGUUUCUAGGACCGCCGUAAUGAUUAAUAGGGACAGUCGGGGGCAUCAGUAUUCAAUUGUCAGAGGUGAAAUUCUUGGAUUUAUUGAAGACUAACUACUGCGAAAGCAUUUGCCAAGGAUGUUUUCAUUAAUCAGUGAACGAAAGUUAGGGGAUCGAAGACGAUCAGAUACCGUCGUAGUCUUAACCAUAAACUAUGCCGACUAGGGAUCGGGCGGUGUUUCUAUUGUGACCCGCUCGGCACCUUACGAGAAAUCAAAGU